GAUGAACGCUGGCGGCGUGCCUAAUACAUGCAAGUCGAGCGAACAGACGAGGAGCUUGCUCCUCUGACGUUAGCGGCGGACGGGUGAGUAACACGUGGAUAACCUACCUAUAAGACUGGGAUAACUUCGGGAAACCGGAGCUAAUACCGGAGAAUAUAUUCAACCGCAUUGUUCAAUAGUGAAAGACGGUUUUGCUGUCACUUAUAGAAUGAUCAGCGCCGCAUUAGCUAGUUGGUAAGGUAACGGCUUACCAAGGCAACGAUGCGUAGCCGACCUGAGAGGGUGAUCGGCCACACUGGAACUGAGACACGGUCCAGACUCCUACGGGAGGCAGCAGUAGGGAAUCUUCCGCAAUGGGCGAAAGCCUGACGGAGCAACGCCGCGUGAGUGAUGAAGGUCUUCGGAUCGUAAAACUCUGUUAUUAGGGAAGAACAAAUGUGUAAGUAACUAUGCACGUCUUGACGGUACCUAAUCAGAAAGCCACGGCUAACUACGUG
rnacentral:rRNA from 1 species